rnacentral:rRNA from 1 species
AACGAACGCUGGCGGCGCGUCUUAAGCAUGCAAGUCGGACGGCAAGGGGAGCUUGCUCCCCCUAGAGUGGCGGACUGGUGAGUAACGCGUGGGUGACCUACCCUUGAGAUGGGGAUAGCCAUUAGAAAUAGCGGAUAAUACCGAAUACGCUCUUUUUGCUGUGGCGAGAAGAGGAAACAGGCUACGGCCUGGCUCGAGGAUGGGCCCGCGUCCCAUUAGCUAGUUGGUGAGGUAACGGCCCACCAAGGCGACGAUGGGUAUCCGGCCUGAGAGGGUGUACGGACACAUUGGGACUGAGAUACGGCCCAAAACUCCUACGGGAGGCAGCAGCUAAGAAUAUUCCGCAAUGGACGAAAGUCUGACGGAGCGACGCCGCGUGGAUGAAGAAGGCCGAAAGGUUGUAAAAUCCUUUUGCUGAUGAAGAAUAAGUGGUGUAGGGAAUGACAUCAUGAUGACAUUAGUCGGUGAAUAAGCCCCGGCUAACUACGUGCCAGCAGCCGCGGUAAA